rnacentral:sRNA from 1 species
GCCGGGCGUGGUGGCGGGCGCCUGUAGUCCCAGCUACUCCGGAGGCUGAGGCAGGAGAAUGGCGUGAACCCAUGAGGCGGAGCUUGCAGUGAGCCGAGAUCCCGCCGCUGCACUCCAGCCUGGGUGACAGAGCGAGACUCCAUCUCAAAAAAAAAAAAGGCUUUUUUUUUUUUUUUUUUUUUUUUUGAGACAGAGUCUCACUCUUGUUGCCCAGGCUGGAGUGCAGUGGCGCGAUCUUGGCUCACUGCAACCUCCGUCUCCCGGGUUCAAGUGAUUCUCCUGCCUCAG